rnacentral:tRNA from 1 species
GGGAAUGUAGCUUAGUGGUAAAGUGCUUGUCUAGCAUGCAUGAAACUCUGGGUUCAAUUCCUCAGUACCA